GACGAACGCUGGCGGCGUGCUUAACACAUGCAAGUCGAACGGAAAGGCCCUGCUUUUGUGGGGUGCUCGAGUGGCGAACGGGUGAGUAACACGUGAGUAACCUGCCCUUGACUUUGGGAUAACUUCAGGAAACUGGGGCUAAUACCGGAUAGGAGCUCCUGCUGCAUGGUGGGGGUUGGAAAGUUUCGGCGGUUGGGGAUGGACUCGCGGCUUAUCAGCUUGUUGGUGGGGUAGUGGCUUACCAAGGCUUUGACGGGUAGCCGGCCUGAGAGGGUGACCGGGCAAAAUGGGGAUGGGGAUCGGGCCAGACUCCAAACGGGAGGAAGAGGGGGGGAAUAUGGCAAAAGGGGCGGAAGCCGGAGGAAGAAACGCGGGGUGGGGGAGGAGGGCUUUGGGGUUGAAAACCGCUUCGGCUUGUGACGAAGGGUGGGGGCGGGUAAUGGGGAAAGAGAACCGGGUUAACUACGU
rnacentral:rRNA from 1 species